CAAUGCAGGAGAUUGAUUAGAGCCCUGGGUUGGAAAUGUCCCCUGGAGGAGGAAAUGGCCACCCACUCCAGUAUUCUUGCCUGGAGAAUUUCAUGGACAGAGGAGCCCGGCAGGCUGCAGUCCGUGGAAUUGCUAAGAGUCGGACAUG